rnacentral:rRNA from 1 species
GUCUACUGCCAUACCACCCUGAACACGCCCGAUCUCGUCUGAUGUUGGAAGCUAAGCAGGGUCCGGCCUGGUUAGUACUUGAAUGGGAGUAAUAAGAAAAGUGAAUU